CUGGGCCUCCUAAUGAGAAGGAUCAGUCUGGAGUGUGGAACCACAGGGAGCAGUUUAGGUUUCUGGAGGAAGCCCUGACCCAGGGAGAAGCUGCUGGGAGGGGAUGCAGUGGGAAAGGAGUCUGCUGCUGAGUAGAAGACGGUGAGAAGAAAUGUGUGGUUAAAAGGCAUAAAGAAGAGCCCCACAAGCCUGCUGCAGGAGGGGUGAUGUGCCCAGAACUUCAGUCAACCACAGGCUAUGACAGGACUUGAGAGAAGGCAGCCAGAGAGUCAGCUCUUUCUAAUGGAGCUGCAAGGACUUGAUAAUAGCCCAGAAGGGGGAAGAGCUGAGCCCAGGAACUGGACUGAAGAGCAGCAGCAUGAUUUGUUUAGACAUUUUGUUUGCGCUUUAAUUGGAUGUUUGUUACCCUGGAAGGGGACUGACCUUUCAGUGUGACCUGGCCGGAGGGCUGAGUCGCCCAGAAGACGACUGCUGCAGAAACAGAACAUGCUGCCACCCACAUACCCACAUGGAAAGCAUCGGAGAAGAGUAAACCAGAAAUAAACCCAUUCCAGGGGGAUGGAGAGAAAAAUACCCACAAAGAUAAUUGGGAGUGUAUGAAGACUGAAGAGGAGGUAAGCGACGGUGCCUUUGUGAGAUCGCUGGGUCUAUGUGGAAGUUCAUCUUUGCUCUAAUGAGUUACUGGAGAUACUGGGCCCAAUUCUAUGCUGCUGUAACUCCAUUCACUUCAAUGGGCUCACUCCUGAUUCACACUGGUGUAAAGGAGAGAAGUUUCAAGACUUUUGGACCUCCAGAAGCCACCUGUGUUGACAAAUCACUGAUUCCAAGAAACACCUUGGAAAGAAGACUUGGAAAUCUUGCUGCCUCUGCUCAUAAAAGGGGAGCAAUUCUAGAAUUGCUUAGGGUUAGAUUGUGGCUUUUGGCAAAGCCCUGCACAAAGUUGCAUUACUGUAGGAGCAGCCCUGGGAGGCAUUGACUGUGGCAACCCUCUCAGCCUCAGCUCCUCUCCUGCAUUUUCCUUGGUCCCAGCCAGGCACCAGUUGUUCACCACUGGUCUAUAGCAGCAGAAGAUUACGAUCUUCCUCUGUGUGGACUUGGCUACACCGGCCAGUGACCAAAAGGCAGGAGUCAAGGCUCCACCCAUCCCCUGCCCACUUGUCCCACCCAGGGGACAGUAAGCAGAAGAGGAACCUGGCAAAUUCAUAUGUGCCUGGACCUGGGUAUCCCAUGUAAGGGUAUAACGGGGCCAAAGAUCCUUAUACCCUCUGACUGCUCUCCUGCACAGGCAUCUAGGCCAUGUCCCACAAUCCUGCCUUUAGUGUCACUUACAAGAUAAGCGUUAAAGGUUAAUAUGAAUAAAAUGUGAGCUGUUGGCUUCAGUGUAUAUCUUGACAC